rnacentral:rRNA from 1 species
AUUGAACGCUGGCGGCAGGCCUAACACAUGCAAGUCGAGCGGAUGAAGGGAGCUUGCUCCUGGAUUCAGCGGCGGACGGGUGAGUAAUGCCUAGGAAUCUGCCUGGUAGUGGGGGAUAACGUCCGGAAACGGGCGCUAAUACCGCAUACGUCCUUAGGGAGAAAGUGGGGGAUCUUCGGACCUCACGCUAUCAGAUGAGCCUAGGUCGGAUUAGCUAGUUGGUGGGGUAAAGGCCUACCAAGGCGACGAUCCGUAACUGGUCUGAGAGGAUGAUCAGUCACACUGGAACUGAGACACGGUCCAGACUCCUACGGGAGGCAGCAGUGGGGAAUAUUGGACAAUGGGCGAAAGCCUGAUCCAGCCAUGCCGCGUGUGUGAAGAAGGUCUUCGGAUUGUAAAGCACUUUAAGUUGGGAGGAAGGGAAGUAAGUUAAUCCCUUGAUGUUUUGACGUUACCAACAGAAUAAGCAACGGCUAACUUCGUG